GGCAGGAUCAGGUAUGAUUGCAUUGACGAGGACACUGGUGCUGUACCCACAGGUCAUGGCUGACCAUCCCUUCUUCUUCAUCAUCAGAAACAGAAAAACAGGAUCCAUCCUCUUCAUGGGCAGAGUUAUGAACCCUGAAGUCAUUGAGCCCUUCGACAAUAACUUUGACAUGUGAAAGCCCAGCAGCAAUCCCAAUCUGACACUCACCUCAGUUCAUGCGUAUCUUUAACAUCGUCACGGAAAGCAAGCUCAUUACAUCGCCAUGGUUUUCUAAACACACAAGACAAUAUUAUAUAAACAGGAUAUUUAUAUGAUAAAAGUGACUGUGUUUUGAUACUCGUAAGCUUUAACCGCACCAGGAAGUACAGAGCUGUAAAUAUUUGAAGUUCCUGUGUUUCUUCUCUUGUAUAUUUGUGUUCUGUAGAGAAACACAGUGAUAUUUAUUGGAAGUAUGUGAGCACUUCUCUAUGUGUAGACUCACUUAAUGUCUUUUCAUUCUUUUCUCUCUUUUUUGGUUUUGUACAUGGCUGAAUACUGCUGACAUACUAAUAUGCCUUAUUAAAUAAAUAUGAGUUUUUGAUUUCAUGAAAGGUUGCGAAUGUACAGGUACGUGGAGCGCUGUUGCCAUGGAGACUCAGGCGAACCGGAGGAGAGUGCAUUUGAUAUAAGGGAUGAAAAAAUUACCAGCUGUAUUCUCUAUUUCAGAAAUAAAGAUGAAUGUCUUCAA